UACGUAGGGGGCUAGCGUUAUCCGGAAUUACUGGGCGUAAAGGGUGCGUAGGUGGUUUCUUAAGUCAGAGGUGAAAGGCUACGGCUCAACCGUAGUAAGCCUUUGAAACUGGGAAACUUGAGUGCAGGAGAGGAGAGUGGAAUUCCUAGUGUAGCGGUGAAAUGCGUAGAUAUUAGGAGGAACACCAGUUGCGAAGGCGGCUCUCUUGACUGUAACUGACACUGAGGCACGAAAGCGUGGGGAGCAAACAGG
rnacentral:rRNA from 1 species